rfam:Gaeumannomyces graminis var. tritici R3-111a-1 unplaced genomic scaffold supercont2.2, whole genome shotgun sequence.
GGUUGUAUGGCGCAAUGGUAACGCAUUUGUUUUUAAAGCGGGAAAUCCUGGGUUUAACUCCUGGUGCAACCG